CGCGUAGGCGGAUCUUUAAGUCAGGGGUGAAAUCCUGGGGCUCAACCUCAGAACUGCCCUUGAUACUGAAGAUCUUGAGUCCGGAAGAGGUUAGUGGAAUUCCCAGUGUAGUGGUGAAAUUCGUAGAUAUUGGGAAGAACACCAGUGGCGAAGGCGGCUAACUGGUCCGGUACUGACGCUGAGGUGCGAAAGCGUGGGGAGCAAACA
rnacentral:rRNA from 1 species